GUUGCAUAGACGCUGGAUUAACAUAGACUAAAUUGUCCACUAUUUCAAUAUCAAAGAAGAAAACCAGAUGAAAGCUCCCCAUUAGGGAAGAAAAAUCUAAAUUUCAGCCAUCAUAAAGAACACUUCAAGAUCAGUUAAUUCGCUAAGUAUGUUUGCAUGUACCUAAUGUGUGAGGGUUUACGUGCAGCCAAAAAUAGACAUGUAAAAUGUACAAACAAAAUACGGACACCAGGUGAUGGUCAGAGUACAGGAUAUGCAAUACAAAUACCUUAAACAUAAAUCUCCUACAUGAAAAUAUACAAUGUACAGAUUUAAGAUUUAAAUCAUUUCAAUAAUAAACACAGCUUCAACUUCAUUUUAAACUGUGUUGUAGGCUACUGAGAGAAACAGUGAAGGAGUAGGUUAGACAGAGAUACAGUGGGUGAGUAGGCUACACAGAGAUACAGUGGAUGAAUAGGCUACACAGAGAAACAGUGAAGGAGUAGGUUAGACAGAGAUACAGUGGAGGAGUUGAAUACAGGGGAAAAUAGUAAAAUAGUGAAAUAGUUAAGGAGUAGGCUACAGAGGGAAACAAUGGAUGUGUAGCACAGCAGCAUGGACCUGUAUGUGCAUUAUCUAAUGGAAAUUGGCCAUCUGUGAAAUUACUUUUACAUGGAGAUGAUAUAAAAUGCUAUUUCACAAUGCCAGCAAUAUGUCCUUUUGAAACACAAAAAUAGUGUGGGAUGUGAAUAUAGUGCUGGUCUUGGUUUUAUCAUUUUACAUUUAUUGUGACAAUAUAUUGGAUUAAACAGUUACAUAUUCACAAAUUGUCAAAUAAUACAAUAGAUAACUUGAACAUGUACUAUAUGUAUGCUCUUAUAUAAAUAUAACAUUACAAUAUAUUCUACAUACAAAGGCAAAUAGGCUCAUUGUAAGGGAGCUGAAUGAGUAGCACCUCCAAUAAAUAAGACAACAAUAAGCUCUAAUAGAGGUUUGCUAUCUGUAUGUCUGCCAGGAACAAACCACAUGCAAUUUUUGUGAUAUAUCUGUGAUUUGUCUUAGGGAAAGUCUUGCCUGUUCCUCUUUUUAAAGUGACUACAUAAUUCAGUGAUUGUUUUGGUUCAGCACUAUCUGUGAAUAUAUAUUUUGUUGAUGCACACUUUCCUAUUCCCUAGAGCAGAUAAGGUUUGAUUUCUCAAAUACAUUGGGGUUUGAUAUUUCAAAUGACUGCCUUCAUGAUGAACUAGAUAGUAGUAACCAAAAUGUGUUACAGAGAUUUAACUGUGUUUGAUGUUCUUUAUUACAAGGGCAUAUGGACGAGCCAAUUCAUUAGAAGUGAACCUGAAAUUGGACUUGCUUUGAACAGAGCUGCAUUAUAAAAAAGGCUUUGAUCUUUGAAAUGGCCAGAUAGGCAACCCUUCAUAUGUCAUGUAAUAUUAGAGAAAAUCAAACCAAAAUGUAAACCAUAGAAUUGCUACUGCUGUAGUUUAUUUCAGGUCAUUUGAUGUCUCUCCAACACACUAAAACUCUACAUUUGUGGAUAUACACUUCUGCAAAUAAAUCGUACGGUCAUUUAUCUGCCUCACAUCCACUGGGCACACACCAUUCACACAUCCUUCUAGAGCCACAUGCCACACGAGCCGCUCUUCGCCCCUCUGCAUGUGAUGGUGAUAAGGAGGUGUCAGGGCCUGGAGACUUGUAGACCAUCACUCAGGAUGCUAUUCCAAGUGGGGUGCCGUUGGGAGGUGGUGCUGUCAGAUUCCUGGGCCCUAACACCAACCGUCUCUAUGGACAAUUCAACCCCCCCCACCCCCCACCCCCCACCCCCCCAGCCAGCUUCUCGCCGACGGCUGUUCUCUCAAACCACAACUGCCUGCGACCAAAUCUACCCCCUUUCCUCCUGUGACAUGGCUACGGUGAGGCCCUUAUCACGGCUUUUGCCUACAGGAUAGAUGAGGGAAAAAAACAUGUCACAUCAUCACCCCACUUCUGCUGUCAGCAGACAGAAGGAGAGACAACCUUGAUGGAAUAACACUGAACUUGGAGUCCAGAUUUGCUUUUCACUGCUAUGCUUUGGUUCGUUACAAUAAUGUAGUGCUUGUGUAAUAUUUAUUAAGCUGUUACACAUGUUGUUUCAGUGUAUUUAUUUAUGACUUGAUGGUUAUUAUGACAGUUAUUUAUUUUGUUCAGUGUGCAUGUGACAAUUUAGUAGACUUAUUGCAUCCUGUUGAAAUUAUGGAAAAAUAAACUUAAUUGGUUUUGGAGCACAAAGACAUGUUGUGCAUAAAUACUA